rnacentral:rRNA from 1 species
CUACGGGCCGCAGCAGUGGGGAAUAUUGGACAAUGGGGGAAACCCUGAUCCAGCAAUGCCGCGUGUGUGAAGAAGGCCUGCGGGUUGUAAAGCACUUUCGGUUGGGAGGACUGCUUCUAGCACUAAUAUUGUUGGAAGUUGACGUUACCUUCAGAAGAAGCACCGGCUAACUCCGUACCAGCAGCCGCGGUAAUACGGAGGGGGCAAGCGUUAAUCGGAAUUACUGGGCGUAAAGCGCGCGUAGGCGGCUAGAUCAGUCGGGUGUGAAAGCCCCGGGCUUAACCUGGGAACUGCAUCCGAUACUGUCUAGCUUGAGUACAGGAGAGGAGAGUGGAAUUCCACAUGUAGCGGUGAAAUGCGUAGAUAUGUGGAGGAACACCAAUGGCGAAGGCAGCUCUCUGGCCUGAUACUGACGCUGAGGUGCGAAAGCGUGGGGAGCAAACAGGAUUAGAUACCCCUGUAGUC